ACUAGUUGGCACCAGAAUGUUGACAACCAACAAUAUGUAAUGUGAGGCUUAGCUUUUACACCAUUUACUAUCUAUACGCUAAGCAAUGGAUCCUUUUUACUAAACAGAAUUCGUAUUUAUUCAUCUACAUAUUGAAUCUUAUGUUGUUAUCAUGGCUUCAGCCAGUGACUUCAACAUUUUACUGUACAUUGAGUCUUCUCUUUUCAUCAGCCUAGCUGUCCUACUUAAGAGGCCAACUUGUUUGCUGUCAUACAAAUGUUUGGAGGAUAUUUCCCAACAGUUAGUAGUUAAAGUAAUGGACGUAUUUCUAUGAAAGUUGACUUAUAUUUGUUAUCAAUUAGUAACAUAUGGUUUAGACAUUAAUUGUAUUACUAACAAAUAUGGCUUUAAA